UACGUAGGGUGCGAGCGUUGUCCGGAAUUAUUGGGCGUAAAGAGCUCGUAGGCGGUUUGUUGCGUCUAUCGUGAAAACCUGCAGCUUAACUGUGGGCUUGCGGUGGACACGGGCAGACUUGAGUUCGGUAGGGGAGACUGGAAUUCCUGGUGUAGCGGUGAAAUGCGCAGAUAUCAGGAGGAACACCGGUGGCGAAGGCGGUUCUCUGGGCAUUACCUGACGCUGAGGAGCGAAAGUGUGGGGAGCGAACAGG
rnacentral:rRNA from 1 species